rnacentral:rRNA from 1 species
GACGAACGCUGGCGGCGUGCUUAACACAUGCAAGUCGAACGGAAAGGCCCUGCUUUUGUGGGGUGCUCGAGUGGCGAACGGGUGAGUAACACGUGAGUAACCUGCCCUUGACUUUGGGAUAACUUCAGGAAACUGGGGCUAAUACCGGAUAGGAGCUCCUGCUGCAUGGUGGGGGUUGGAAAGUUUCGGCGGUUGGGGAUGGACGAGCGGCUUAUCAGCUUGUUGGUGGGGUAGUGGCUUACCAAGGCUUUGACGGGUAGCCGGCCUGAGAGGGUGACCGGCCACAUUGGGACUGAGAUACGGACCAGACUCCUACGGGAGGCAGCAGUGGGGAAUAUUGCACAGUGGGCGGAAGCCGGAUGCAGCAACGCCGCGUGCGGGAUGACGGCCUUCGGGUUGUAAACCGCUUUCGCCUGUGACGAAGCGUGAGUGACGGUAAUGGGUAAAGAAGCACCGGCUAACUACGUG